UGUCAAUAGAGAGGGUUCUGCACGCCUCCUGUGGCACUCUUGCCAUAGGUUCGCCACCAUGGAUACAGAACGUAUAGAAUGACAUGACACUUCCUUGGGGAAAAGGGCCUGGGCAGUCUGUAGGGGGCUGUGAGCAGGGAAACAAUAACAUGGUGAAGAUGGAACUUUCAGAUACUCUGGUGUUUAUCUGUACAAACCAACAAAUCAAGCAAGAAAUGGCCAAGGAUGACGAGACCCGGGAAGAUGGCUGCAGUCAGAGUCCUUCCAGUCACAUGAUAAGUCCUCAGUGACAAACUGAAAGAAUACAAAUCAAUGACUAAACUGAGAUCCUCAAAGGAUGGAGCAACUCUCUUACAGCAGAAGAUGACCUCUUUUGCCUUUGCUAAGUAAGUACCCAUAAACCUUUUGGGGAACACGUAUGUGAUUUCAGCUUAAUUCACCUCUCAAUUUAUUAAAAAUAUUGAAUCUCCUAUUUAUUUCUGAAAUAAAAUUCUAUGCUGUGUGUGUUGUGUGUGCGCAAGCACGUGAUUGCUGAGGGACGUGAAGUAUUUAAUGGUACCUUUGUUAUUCAGAGCAGACAUUUGCUACUGGUCUUGAUUUUCUUUUAUACCUCUAGAUAACUCCCAGCAUGAUCUUAGCAGCAAAAUUAGCUUAUAAUGGCUAACGGGAGAAAAUAGGCUCCUUAACUAGCAUAUUAGAAUGCCCUUUCUGAGAAAAGAAUUAUAGCAAACGUUGGACUUAAUUGUAAGGACAUUAAACUUAUAAAAGCAUGAAAUUGCAUCGUAGGGUGUGGAUGCAUUAAUAUCCUCUUCCUACUGGUAAGUUUUCCAUAUACAUUCCUCAGACUCAACAAUACACAGUUACACUUUUGUACCACUGAAGGUUGUGUUGCAAAGCUAGAUCUGCUGAAAAAAGAAAAGAAAUGGCAUAGUUUGGCCUAGUCUGGGAGUGAAG
rnacentral:lncRNA from 1 species